rnacentral:rRNA from 1 species
UACGUAGGGCGCAAAGCGUUGUCCGGAAUUUAUUGGGCGUAAAGAGCUCGUAGGCGGUUUGUCGCGUCUGCUGUGAAAACCUAAGGCUCAACCUUGGGCUUGCAGUGGGUACGGGCAGACUAGAGUGCGGUAGGGGGUGACUGGAAUUCCUGGUGUAGCGGUGGAAUGCUGCAGAUAUCAGGAAAGAACACCAACGGCGAAGGCAGCUCGCU